AUGUUCAUUUCUCAUGUGCGUAAGGAUAAAAGGUUUAGCAAGUUGAAGAAUCUAUGUGAGCUUUCAGUUUUGAUGGUUGAGACAAGAAAGAAUGAACAAUAUUAUAUUGUUUACAAAAUUCUUAAGUUGGUUCUCAUUCUUCCGGUAGCCACUGCUAGCGUUGAGAGGGUAUUUUCCUCGAUGAAAUACGUGAAGAAUUCACUCAGAAACAAAAUGGGUGAUGAAUAUUUGAACGAUUGCUUGGUUACAUUCGUUGAGAGAGAAUUCUUCAGGCAAGUGAAAGAUGAGGAUGUCAUCAAUCUCUUCCGAAAAGGGGAUCGUAAAGUUAUAUUGUAA
rnacentral:rRNA from 1 species